rnacentral:rRNA from 1 species
ACACUGACGUCGCGACGCAUAUCAAUAAGCGGAGGAAAAGAAACUAACAAGGAUUCCCUUAGUAACGGCGAGUGAAGCGGGAAGAGCUCAAAUUUGAAAUCUUCAAGGUUCUACCUUGACGAAUUGUAGUUUAAAGAAGUGUUUUCUGUUAGUGGAGUGGCAAAAGUUCUUUGGAAUAGGACAUCAUAGAGGGUGAGAAUCCCGUAUUUGGUCAUUCCUUCUAGCUUUGUGAUACACUUUCAAAGAGUCGGAUUGUUUGGGAAUGCAGUCCAAAAUGGGUGGUAAAUUUCAUCUAAAGCUAAAUAUUGGCGAGAGACCUGAUAGCGAACAAGUACCGUGAGGGAAAGAUGAAAAGAACUUUGAAAAGAGAGUUAAACAGUACGUGAAAUUGUCAAAAGGGAAGCGUUUGACACCAGUGUUGUUUUUCCGAAAAUCAAUUACGAAUGGCUUGAUUUUGUGUUGUAUUGACCUUAUCAGCUUUCUUCACUUUUUUCGAGUCUUUCUUAAUGCACUUUUCGGUUAACAAGUCAACAUCAAUUUCUUUUGUUGUAAAAGAGUAUUCGGAAGGUGGCUUUCUUUUCGGAGAAAGUGUUUAUAGCCCUAUACUUCUACAAUCGGAGAGAUUGAGGUCUGCAGCGUAGAUCCUUCGGGGUUAGAUACAUUUGUGCUAAGUUGUAGCUUUUCAUAGACAACUUGUUGACUAUGUUUAGUCAUGUGGCUUACUCGCUUAUGCUAUUUUACCUACGCUUAGGAUGUUGAGUCGUAGAGCACGCAG